CGCCUCUUGCACCUAUAUAAGAGGUCCAGCCUGCCCAGUGACUAAGUUCAACGGCCGCGGUAUCCUAACCGUGCGAAGGUAGCGUAAUCACUUGUUCUUUAAAUGAGGACUAGUAUGAAUGGCACCACGAAGGUUAUGCUGUCUCCUUUUUCUAAUCAAUGAAACUGAUCUCCCCGUGAAGAAGCGGGGAUACAACUAUAAGACGAGAAGACCCUAUGGAGCUUUAAACCAUGUAACACUGGCUCAUACAUUAAAAUAUUCCAGAAUUUUUCAUAAUUACUCUAGCCACCAUGAUUACUAGUUUUAGGUUGGGGUGACCACGGAGCAAAAAUUAACCUCCAUGUUAAACGGAGCUACUCCUGAGCCAAAAGCCACGACUUUAAGCACUAAUAAAUUAAUAUUAAUUGACCCAAUAUUUUUGAUCAACGAACCAAGUUACCCUAGGGAUAACAGCGCA
rnacentral:rRNA from 1 species